rnacentral:rRNA from 1 species
CAGUAGCCGCGGUAAUACGGAGGGAGCUAGCGUUGUUCGGAAUUACUGGGCGUAAAGCGCACGUAGGCGGCUUUGUAAGUUAGAGGUGAAAGCCUGGAGCUCAACUCCAGAACUGCCUUUAAGACUGCAUCGCUUGAAUCCAGGAGAGGUGAGUGGAAUUCCGAGUGUAGAGGUGAAAUUCGUAGAUAUUCGGAAGAACACCAGUGGCGAAGGCGGCUCACUGGACUGGUAUUGACGCUGAGGUGCGAAAGCGUGGGGAGCAAACAGGAUUAGAUACCCCGGUAGUCCCUGUCUCUUAUAC